rnacentral:rRNA from 1 species
UACGAGGGGGGCGAGCGUUGUUCGGAAUUACUGGGCGUAAAGCGUGCGCAGGCGGCUAUGCAAGACAGAUGUGAAAUCCCCGGGCUCAACCUGGGAACUGCAUUUGUGACUGCAUAGCUAGAGUACGGUAGAGGGGGAUGGAAUUCCGCGUGUAGCAGUGAAAUGCGUAGAUAUGCGGAGGAACACCGAUGGCGAAGGCAAUCCCCUGGACCUGUACUGACGCUCAUGCACGAAAGCGUGGGGAGCAAACAGG